rnacentral:rRNA from 1 species
UCCGUAGGUGAACCUGCGGAAGGAUCAUUGUCGAAACCUGCACAGCAGAACGACCCGCGAACACGUGAACAACACCGGGGACGCGGGCUUGCCCGUGGCCCCUUGCCGUCGACGUGCGCGCCCGCCCAACCACUUGGUGGCAGGGAGUGUGCGUGCGUCGUUCGGCGCCAAACGAACCCCGGCGCGAUCCGCGCCAAGGAAAACUUAACUCAAAGAGCGGCCCGUCCUCCUGUCGCCCCGUUCGCGGUGUGCGCACGGUUGGGCGGUUGCUUCUUAGUGAAAAACACAAACGACUCUCGGCAACGGAUAUCUCGGCUCUCGCAUCGAUGAAGAACGUAGCGAAAUGCGAUACUUGGUGUGAAUUGCAGAAUCCCGUGAACCAUCGAGUCUUUGAACGCAAGUUGCGCCCGAAGCCGUUAGGCCGAGGGCACGUCUGCAUGGGCGUCACGCAUCGCGUCGCCUCCCUUAACUUAAUUGUUCACAAAACAAGUCAAGGAAAGGGGGAGCGGAUACUGGCCUCCCGUGCCUUGCGGCGCGGUUGGCUCAAAACGGAGUCCCCCGCGAAGGACGCACGACAAGUGGUGGUUGGUAACAAGGCCCUCGCGUCCCGUCGUGCGCACGUCCUGCGCUGGGUUGGCUCUCGUGACCCUGACGCGUCUAGGCUUAAGCCUAAGGCGCUCCGACCGCGACCCCAUGUCAGGCGGGACUACCCGCUGAGUUUAAGCAUAUCAAUAAGCGGAGGA